rnacentral:pre_miRNA from 1 species
UCUCUAUGGAAAUGAAACGCUCGCUCACAACCAAAGUUGUUACAAGACCUAUUUCUCUUGCUCGUGUCAACCAGUUUGGUUAAUCAAAUAACCUUGUUAUGGAAUGUGUUAGAGUAUCCAAAAUGAUCAGAUACUCCAACCCAUUAUGUAGCAAGGUUAUUUGCUUUGAUUAACCAAACCGGUUUACACAAGCAAGAGAAAUAGACCAUGUAACAACUUUGAUUGUGGGAGAGCAUUUCAUUUCCAUAGAG